GAUGAACGCUGGCGGCGUGCCUAAUACAUGCAAGUCGAGCGAACAGAUGAGGAGCUUGCUCCUCUGUCGUUAGCGGCGGACGGGAGAGUAACACGUGGAUAACCUACCUAUCUGACUGGGAUAACUUCGGGAAACCGGAGCUAAUCCCGGAUAAUAUAUUGAACCGCAUGGUUCAAUGGUAAAAGACGGUUUUGCUGUCACUUCUCGAUGGAUCCGGGCCGCAUGAGCUAGUUGGUAGGGUACCGGCUUUCCAAGGGAACGAUGCGUAUGCGACCUGAGAGGGUGAUCGGCCGCACUGGAACUUAAACACCCUCCUUGCUCCUGCGGGAGGCACCAGAAGGCAAUGGUCCGCAAUAGGCGGAAGCCUGACGGAGCAACGCCGCGUGAGUUACAGAGGUCUUCGGAUCGUGAUGCUCUGCUAUUAGGUAUGAACAGAUUUGGAAGUAACUAAGCACUUCUUGACGGUACUGAAUCAGGAAGCACCGGCUAACUACGUG
rnacentral:rRNA from 1 species